AUAUAUGUAUAAUUUACAAUAGGAACAACUCGCUCAUUCAUAUGUUUGUCGUUGAACUCGUGUAUACAUGCGUGUCCGCUCAACGUGAACCUGCGUGACUCACGAUGACUGCUGGAAAAUACUAAUCUGGAACCGUAUGACACGGACGAUAUGAGCAGAACCUCUCAAAGUUAUUCUUGCCAAUUUACUGCAUACGGUUUCUCUCAGACUAAACCGCGGUAUCAUUUAGUUGGCGUUCAUCCAAGCGGCCAUGUCUAGCUGGGUGUACAGUUGACGUUAAAUUAGUGGACACCGUGAACAUGUUCGCCGAUAGAAUGCCCCCGCCGGGUGGGCAAUGUCGUAAUCAAAUAAUGCAGUCACGGUCUAUGAACAUCUCGAUCAUUAUACAACCGCCCCUCUUUAGUCUGGAUUCGGGCCGACAAUUUCUCCACACGCGUCAGUUUUGUUUACUGCCGACUAACUUACGGCUAAAUGAUAAGGUACUUAAGAUGAAGUAUGCCGAGGCUGGAUUUUACAUGAACAAAAAACUAGCGAAAGCACAACUCGCCGCAGAAAAUGGAAAUCAAGAGAUGUAUCCGCUUUCGCCUCGAAGCGAUAAUGAAACUGAGUUCGGUUUCGCGAUUCGCCGUGAGCCUUCACUUCGAAUCAAUAUUAUCAACGGCAUCACGAACAACAGCCCUGUCUAGGUUUCUACAGGUAUACUGUUGGACAAUACUGCGUAUUAGCACUGUUAUAAAACCUGCAAAGUGGGAUGGGUACAACUGAGCGUCUUUCGGGAAACACAAUGGACAGCCUAAACCUACAGCGGAAAAGUUGACGGUUGCUCGUAGCAAGUAGGUCUGAAAAGGACCUGAGACAGUCUUGUUAAUUUUGCACGACAUGUACGCAGUAUACAUAUGGAUUAGAUGCACGUGUAUUACUAGGAGGGUUAUCGUACGGACUCGUUGAGCUGUUAGACAUCAUCCUCUGUAAUACACACAGUAAAUAAUCUAGUACUUGACUCAGCAGCAGCUUUAUUGGUUAUUGUCGUAAGGUAAUAGGAACCCUGGAUUGCACGCGGUACUAGCCGAAGCAUGUUUGCUUUUUUUCCUAUGUAUUAACGUUCAACAUAACUAGCUGCAAAAAAAACCCAGUUUGUCUUGUUUUAGAUUGGUUGUAGGGGUAAAUACGUACAGCCCCGAAUCACUAAACUACAAGAUACAGAUAAUUUGAUCGUUUGUUUUCCACACUGAAUGUACAUAGAUAUAUUUAGGAGGCAUUCUGAUCUUUUGUUAUUUGCAGCUUUUUGAACCCAUUUUUGACGAUCUAUAUGUCGACACAUAUAUAGUAAACCUUAUAUAUAUAUAUGUAUGAUGCAAUAGGCAAAGUAAGAUUCAAUACAGAGGGCGUCUGAUCACAUGGAGGUUAUAUAGAUUUGCACACUUGUGUAUAACGAUGCCACCUUCCUAUGUUACAAAUAGCCAAUGUCACUGAUUUAUUUUUGCUCAACUUUCUCUUAUAGUACUAGGUAUGACGAUUGGUUUAAUAGUAUCCAUCUUAUUACUUCUCAUAGGUUAUUAUACCAGCUGCACAUGAGGUGGUAGGAACAUGCUACAACAAAGACCUGAAGAACUGUCAUAGAAGGAAACGAAACGAAGGUCAUAAAGUUUUCUCACCUGCUGCUACAGGCUAAAUAACCACCUCUCUAAGCUACCUUAUAUAUAUAUAUAUAUAUAUAUUUAUAAACUGACUAAGACGAAGACGAUAGGGUUGAAAAAGGGACGUAGUACAACGGUCAUUGGCAUAUUGUUUUUUUGUCAGGUCGCUGCCUAUAUAAACUUGGGGUUUGCUCCUUUCCGUGACCGACACAUAUUUCACUGCACACGUCAACAACAGAUGCAGGAAAGCCGUGUUGGCCGCAUAGACGAUUACACCGCCUCACUACAUGUCCCUCGCAAACGGUCUUAGCUGGUCUGAUUUCGAAAUAGUUCCGAUGGCAACGUAUGAAAUGCACAUAAUUUUCGAGGAUCCUUCAGUAAAGAACCCCGAACAUUUGAGUCGAAUCAAAGCUUUCUUCCUCUAGAUAGACAUAAUGACCCGAAAUUGUCUCGGGUAUCUUCUAAUCGACUCACCAUUGCAAUCUGUCGCUUCGAGUUCUCAAUAACGUAAGCCUUCAAGACGAAUCUCAAGAGCCGAGAAAAAAGAAAUCGGCAGAGGUUGAUAGGAAAUUCUUUGCUUCAGGUGUGAUAAAGAACAACGAGCGAAACGGGGCGAACCUCUAAACAAAAAUGUCGUCACUUGCUUCACCAAAGACUCUAUAGGAAACCGAACCCAACAAUACAUACAGGCGCCCCAGAUGCAAAAGAAAUUGCGGUGGAUACCAUGUCGCACGUUAUUCCCUAGUACCAUUUCUUAUAUAUAUAUAUAUAAAACAAAUUUGUUUUAUAUAGACUCAUACAAUCCAUAUGACGCAAACUGUUUCUGAUAUUGAAAUAUAUAUUGUGUUGCAGAGCUGUAUUUAUGAAGUUUUUGAC